UAUAUAAUUGCCUGAGUUGGCGUCUGACCGUGGAAACCAACAACAAGCGCAACUGGACUAAUGUCCCGGCAAUAUGCGGGUUCUACGUUGCAUACUACAUGACUGGCAGGCAAUACGGUUAUGACUGUGAAGCCGUGGUUGCUAUUGCCAUCAAGUAUGUUAAGAGUCUCUCCAUACCCACAGAUGGCAGGAGCAUUUGGAUCUUCGACAUCGAUGACACUGCACUUUCUAACUUGCCCUUCUUCUCCAGGCCGGACGUUUUCUUUGGGUAAGUAACGAUUUUUAUUUUCCCACCAUCUUUAACCUGUGGAUUACUGCGUUAUUUUGAUAUUUUGUGUCCUGUCGUUUUAGGGUGAAGACGCUUAACGCGGAGUUGGAGGCUGAGUUUUAUGAAUUUAUUCUGACGGCAGAAGUACCAGUACUUGCAGCAACUCUGAGGUUGUACCAAGCUACAGUCGAGGCGGGGAUUAAGGCUGUCUUCCUGACUGGAUCAUCAGAACGUUCUGCAGAUGCAAGGGCUAAGAAUUUGAAGGCAGUUGGAUACGACACCUGGGAAGAGCUCAUUCUCAAGUAAUCUUUACUUUCUCCUGCUUCUAGUUCUUUUGCAUCGCUAAAGUAAGCAGUAAUUAUUGCGUCUUGUGAGUAAUUGGUUCUUCAUUGUGUAGUAGAGGAAAAAGGUACAUCAAUUAGUCGAAAUACCAGAUGGGAUCUUGAUUAUUAUUAUUACUUUUUUGGGGUUUGAUGAAUGCAACUUGGGAUGAAAAUCUGAAGUCUGUCGAGGUUACAAUUGCAUGCACCAUGAGCUUUUGGCAAAUACUACUUUUACUAGUGUUUUAUUAGACUAGAAUCUGGCAAAUAACUCCUGCUUGUCUACAGAGAUUGAAGAACAGAGUACUCCUGCUUGGUAUUUUAACAGCCACAUAUUCAUUUUAGGAGGCGCAAUGAAUUUUUAACUUUAAAUUAGGCUUCUUCUUUUUUGAGUACUGAUCCCAGGAGAACUUUGGUUGGUGCACGAUCGCAGGCCCGACUCUGUAAACACAUCAGUACAAGCUUUCAAAUCUCAGGUGAGAAAUCGGCUGGUGGUCCAGGGAUACAGAAUUGAAGGAAACAUUGGAGACCAGUGGGCUGAUAUAGUCGGGUCCAAUGUUGGUCGCCGGACUUUCAAGCUACCAAAUCCUAUGUACUACGGUGCCUACUAAUUUGGGUGCGGGAGAUGCAACCCAAUUGAACUUAGGUCCUUGUCAAGCCGAUCUUCAUGAUCGUUGAUCAGUUUCUCUGAGAAUAAAUGGGUUUUGAACUAAGCUUGACUCAAUUAUGUAUAAACUCUUGCUUGCCCUGUUCUCGUGUCAAUCGACCCUUCGUACUGGAAAGUUUGUGUUUUUCCCAAGCAAUAAAUGGCUAUGCUGUAAUACAGCUUGAAAUGAAGUCCGACAUUUAUGGUCCCGUGCAAUGACCUGUGUUCUUUUAACCUGUUGCAGUAAACAUCUAGCCGAGUAAAAAAAGUAUUAUGGUAUUAGAACACAUCAUUUGGGCUAAUUUCUUAAAACGUAGCUCUUGCAAAGGCUUCUCAAUUGCUAAAUUGGAAACAAUGGACAACACAUGUGUUGGGAAUGUUAUCCCAAACAAACAAACAAAUUCUAUUUUUGUUGUGAUGUUAUCCAAGAGUUUAACUUAUUGCUUGAAUAUUUUGUAUUAUACAUGAAACGUUAUCAAUAAUUAUUCCUUUUUUUUUUUUACAAAAAUAGUUUGAAUAUUUAUAUAUUAUCCAGUAACACAUUUCUCACAUUCUCAUUAGUAAAAUUUAAGUACGUAAUUUCUCAAAGAAUGUUGUCAUUUCUUAUUAAGUGAGUCAACAUGUGUUGACUUCUAAUACUUAUCCAAUGGCUUAGUCCUUAUUUGGAUUGUUAAUUUUUGUGGAAAAAUUCUAUAUUUUUCAUGAAUAUUUCUUUUACAUAUUUUUUAAUCAUCUUUUUUAUCUCGCAUAUAUUACAUCUUAAAAAAAAAAGAGUUAUAAUAAUUAUUUUCCAAAAACUCUUCAAGAUAUGCCAUCCAACUGACCUCUUAGUCUAGUUAGAUAUUGUGAAUACACACCAGGUCAGUUGAUAAACACGGAUCAUUUUUUUGUUAAAAAAAAAAAUUUGACUUAUGAACUGACAAACUUGUCUUAAAACGUGGUGGUGAACAAAAGCAAAAUAACCCAAUCUUUGUUUUAUUUAAAAAUUCUAAAUAACUAUUUGCUAAAUGUUACAAGUAAAGGGGAAAGAAAUUACUUACUUGGGAAAAAAAUAUCUACCCAUUUCGCCUGACAGCACGAGGGACCUUGGUUCUUUUUUGUUUUGACAAUGUGGCCGGUAUAGAUUUAUACCCCUCCCUUGUCAAAGUUACAUUUGGUAGACCUUUUUUUUUUACCGAAUAAUCUGAGAAAUUAGCCCAUCAUUUGGCUAUUAAAAAUAUUAACCGCUGUUGUCCAUGUAAAGGUAUUAAUAUUGAUUAAGGUACUAAUAUUACCUGUUAAUUUAACUAUCUCUGAAUCACUUACAAGUAUAAAUUGUGAAUACUAAUGGAGUUGACGCAAUGCUAACUUUUGGAUAAAUUGAGGAGUGUGUGCGUUUUAGAUUUUUGGCUAGGGGGUCAAAAUUUUUUCUAACAAAAUUAUGUUAAUAUAUUAUGUUCAAAAUAAUUUUUAUCUAUUUAAGUAUAUGACAUCAAAAACCAUCAAAUAUUAACUUUGAUUAUAAAUGUUUGUCUAUUUUAUGAAUAUAUAGCACAGUUAUACCAAAAAUUAAAACAUUUGAUUAAAUAUCUUAUAACAUUGCAAACCACCCAAAUUGUACAUUAUGAGAAAAUGAUCCAAUAUGUUACUCAUGUAAUAUAUAUAUAUAUAUAUAUAACUAUGCAAUAUAAGUAUAAUUAUUUUCAACUAAAAAAAGAUAAAAGUUACGUUAAUAUAUUUUGAAAUUUUAACCCCUUUCUUAAAAGUAAAUUGAGCAGUAUGUUCUUUUAUAGAACUAAAUUCAUUUACAAUCGAAUUAGUACUAAAUUUUAAACCAACUUCCUUUUCUAUGUACACAGUUAGGUAAUCAUUCAAAAAAUUAUCUUCCAUCUUGUUUUAGAGUUUUGUCUUGAUUAUUUUCAUAAUUGAAAAUACCUGUUCUAUAGUUACAAUUGAUAUAGGAAGAGUGAUAAUAAGUUUAAUCAAAUGGGGUAAGUUUUACAUUUGUAUUUGUUUUAGCCAAUUGAUAAUUGUGAAUUAAGCCUUUUUAUUAUAAUAUACCAAAUAGGGUCAAUUUACUAUGGAUGAUCAAAUUAUACAUUACUUUUUUGAAAGUUAAAUAAUUAGCACAAUAAAAAGAUAAAUAACUUUUUUGAAGAAAAAAAUUAAUUCAAAAGUGACUAAUUCAUAUAUAUAUAUAAACUUUCAUAAUAUAAACUAAAAUUGUAAAAUAUUAUGGGGGACCAAUUUUAUUUUACACAUAUAUUUACACACAAUAAAUUAAAAUUUUCAAAACGUAGAGAGGGGACCAUGGCCCUACUUAGCCCUCCCUUGGCUCCGUCAUUGGUUUUGUAGUUUUUGUCUUCCAGUCUCAAUUGGAAAAAUGCAGUGAGACUUUGUACCUUUUCCCUUCUUUUUUUUUUUUUAUGGGAGACUCAAAGCCCUGAAAUGAGGCACGAUCAAACGAGAGAACUUAACGAAAGGAAGAAAGUGAGGUUGAUAAUCACCCAGCUAAUGCUUUUGUGACACAGUUGGCUAAUGACUUUGUAAGUUCAGCUGGAUUGUAGGUAUAGUUUAUACAAUUUAAUACAUAGGGAUAGUAACUUUUAUUGGUAAAAAAAAAGGAAUAAUUUAUUGCCCUUUGAAGAAUUUUCUACAUAGAAAUCGUAAUGUUAAACCUAAUAUAUUUUCACAUACUUUAAGAAAACUAUCAAUCAGAUUUGUUUCUUCUCCAUUAGAUAAAAAAAAUAUUUACAUGGACAGGUAAAAAAAAAAAUCUUGGAUACCAGUUGAUUAAGUAACCUAUUUUUGAAGAAAUCUAGAAAAUUUUCCUAAAUUACUACAAUAUUGAGUAAAAUUGGAUUGAAUUGAUUUGGGUGGUUAGGGCAAUAGAGAAUCUAUUAGUCUUACUCUUCUUUGUUUUUCCUUUUUUUUUUUUUAAGAUUUGUUAACUUUAAUUUUAAAUAUGCAUUACCUCACUUCAUGGGGAUGGUAAAUUGAGUAAUUUAUGAAGGUUAUUUUUGUCAUUUUACACCACAAGGAGGGAGGUAUGUGUAAAUUUUUAAAUGUGGAGAAGGCUAUCUGCAAUUGUCAUGAAUCUCAUGGGAGGUCUAUGAAGUUAUUCCCAAAAAAAAAGGAUGACAGUUUUUAAGCAUAUCGGACCAUAAAAUUUACCACAUAAUUGAGUCCUUUCAUUUGACUGGGGGAUAAAUGGGGACAGCUAGAGGUGGUAAUUUGGAUUAAAAUCCAUUUAUCCAUCCAUAUAAUUCAUAAUUAAAUGGAUUUGAAUUAUCCAUUUAUAAUAUUGAUUUUAAAUAGUUGACCAAAGUAAAACCAUUAAAUUAAUUGGAUUUAUAUGGAUUAUCCACAAAAAUCAUAUAUAUCCAUUUGCUUAAAAAUCAAAUAAAAGAAACAAAAAAGAAAUAAUUAAAAGCGGACAUUAGACUGACUCCUUUGCCUCUUCACUCCCCAGUGGUUCUGCUAUCAAGCCCGCACAGUCACAUUCUAUCCAGGCUCCAUUUCCAUUUUCUAGUCAAUUUUGCCUUCCUUUGAAAAAAAAAAAAUUGAAAUCUAACUCUCUUUCAUCCCAAAAAAUCCUCAAUUUUAAUUCAUCAAUCAAAGUUGAGGCACCUACAUACUUCAGACUUGAUUGUAAAACAAGUGAAUGGUUUCUUAUUUUCAUGGACGAAUUCCAGAUUUUGUCUAUAUUGUGCUUGUGUAUAUACACCUGGUAGCUUUUAAUCCAUGUGGUUAUUUGUGAAAAAGAAUUUCAUGAGCUGGUUUCUCAUGAACAAACUCAGCCAUUAGACUUUUCCUGUGAAAAUGAAUUUCAUGAGCUGGUGCCUUUUGACUUAAUAUUAGUCAGAAGACAUCAUUCAUCAACUAUUCUUUCAUGAUCCGGUGCCCAUUGUUAAUAUAAAAUAAAGGAACAUGUGUCACUCUAUUACGUAAUGACAAAAUUUGUAAAUUUCCAAAAUACUGAUGUAUACUUACUUUAUGGAAUGAAAAAUGUAAUAUCUGAUGAGUAAUAAAGAAUAUAUAUAUAUGCACAUAUAUUUGAUUGGUACAGAAAACUAUCAUUAGGAGUCUAGGAUUUUUUUCAUAUAAAAAUAUAAGUAUUUUGUCAUCUUUCUCAUCUAAAUACCCUUAAAAUUUACAAGUACAUAAAAAAGUAUCUUCAUAUUACAAGAAAUGAUAAAAUAAAAAAAAUCAAAAUAUUUAAUUGGAUUAUAAAUAAAUAAUUAGUUUUUAUUUAAUUUAUUUAAAUUCAUUUAAUAAAUAAAUCUAAAUAAAUUGAAUAAAUUUUACCCAUCAUCCAUUAAAUCAAAACUAAUUAUGAACCAUUUAUUCAUAUUACUUCCUACAGCAAUAACUACCCGCAAAACCAAUUUUACGGCCGGACAAUUGAGACCAGACAUGAAUGUUCUGGGCCUCCAACCAAUUAACCACGUGGUAAACGAGUGGUCCAUUUAUUAGUGACCAGACACUAGUAAACGAGUGGUCCAUUAUUAACCACAUACUCACAUUCGUUACUUGGCCCAAAUUCAUUUCCUGUUACAAUCAUCAACGUGCCGUGUCAGGCAGGAGCAGUAAAAAGUUUUAACCAUGAAAUUUCUCAAUAGAUCCAAAAUGUACGUAGAUUAGAAGCAAAUAGGAAGAAUAACAGCCGUGGUUGAAAAAAAAAUUCACUGUUCCAUUCUCAAGAUUAAAAUGAGCAUUUCAUUCCUUUGCAAAUUGCAAGUGUAUCAUACUUGUUAGUACAUCAAAAUUACGACACUUGAUGCAAAAAGCAUGCAUCAGUAAAAUGAAAUGUAGUUUUACAAAAGUAAUAAAAGAAAAUCAGGUUGCACGUCUCAAAUUUUAAGUGGUCCAGGGUCUGGACAACAGACUUAAAAUUCAUAAAAGCAAAUUUUUUUUUUAUUUUUAUGAAAUAUGCUUUAAUACAGGAAACUUUUGCCUAUAUAAGGGACGAAGUAUCAGUCCUCCGGUAUGGAGCUGCAGAAAAUGGCUGUAGCAUUAGUAGCAUGCCUCUGCCUUCUAGUAUUCGGCGCCACAACUUCCCAAGCUGGCCACCCAGCUUACCAGGAUCCUAAACUAAUUAACCCUCUCCGCAUGAUGCCCGAAGCCUCCUCCGGCGACUCCGUCUCCGUAUAUAAUUGCCUGAGUUGGCGUCUGACCGUGGAAACCAACAACAAGCGCAACUGGAAUGGUGUCCCAGAAAUAUGCGGGAACUACGUUGAAAACUACAUGACUGGCAAGCAAUACGGUUAUGACUGUGAAGCCGUGGUUGAUAUUGCCAUCAAGUAUGUUAAGAGUCUCCCCAUACCCAGAGAUGGCAGGAGCAUUUGGAUCUUCGACAUCGAUGACACUGCACUUUCUAACUUGCCCUUCUUCU
rnacentral:lncRNA from 1 species